UGACCACGGUACGUUUCUCCACUUGCGUUUCGCGUUUGCAAGACUUUUUCCUUUCAGGAUUUCUCUCGCAACUCCUUUUUGACAAUGUCGCGUUCAACCUUGAUGAAAGAGGCGUUUGAGCUGCUGCAGCGUGAUGGCAAGAUUCCAAAGGCUUCAGUUCCAACAGCACUGAGGGCAGCAGGGCUCAAUCCAAGUGAGGAGAAGAUCAAGGAAAUAAUGGUGACAGCGACUGAUGUGGACAUGGCAGGCUACGAGGCUCUUGUGGAAAAACAUGACGACAAGAUGGACACGGCAGAGGCAGUGAAAGAGGCGUUUCGUGUCUUUGACAAAGACUUGGACGGGACAGUCUCGGUGGCCGAGUUCCGGCAUAUCAUGACCACUAUGGGAGAGAAGUACCACGAGGAAGAGUUUCGCGAGCUAAUUCAAGGAUUUGAGGAUAACGGUGUUAUCCACUACGAAAAGUUUGUAGACAAGAUGCUUGCCCCGUUUACGGAACACGGGAGUGCAGAGGAUGCUCACUAAUCAACACUUCAUCUUUAUCGCAGGAUGCACCAUACGAAUGCGUUUCUCUCUCAGCUUUGUUUCUGUUUAUGUUCACUAGUGGUUCCAUCAACCCCUUCCAAAAAAAGCAAAACAAACAAAAAGGAUUACAUGAGUGCUAGGGGCAGGUUAGGUGUGGAUGUCCUUCGAGAACAAGGAAGCCUAUAUACAGCUGCACAGCGCGCUCAUGUGCGAGUAUGUCUUUCCACUCAACUCGAAGUCUACGUUCGCGAACCGGCAAAACCCUUAGACUGCCUGGCGCAGCCAUGAGCUUCUUCUCUAGCGAUUUACUUACCUUUAUUUUGUUCGAUUCCCUGGCCUUCGUUUUUUCUUUCUAUUUUGGUUCUGCAG
rnacentral:misc_RNA from 1 species